GGAAGGUUAGUAAACUUUAACAGGUGAUCAGAAACACUAAACGUUUGUGCACAUUGAGAUUGUUUUUAUAUUGUCCUGCCAUUUGUAGUUUAAAUAUAUGAGACCAAUUCUGGUUUUACAUAUGAGUCGCAGUCCAGUUUGUAUACGUAUGUGGAUAUGGUAAAAACAAGGAAAGCGCACCUAGGGAAACCAUUUAGAAGGUAAACCCUUGAUGACAAGGAGUAACCCCAAAAUUUGUUCUGGGAGUUACCCCACCCUCCCCCUUCC